ACAUCCUGACAAUGGUCAAAGAGACACCUUGCUGGUAGUGUUGUUCUUAUGUCAGUCAGGAGAAAAGCAAAUGGCAAUCCUUUGUGCAUCCUAGCUUGAUGCCUGGCUUGGUGGUCAGAGCUGUUUUGUACCUAGGACACCUCA